UUUUUUUUUUUUUUUUAUUGCAAUAUCCGCCUCCCCUUGCCCCCGAAUUUUUUCUUGCGUCGGCCUUUGCGGCGACGGUCGAGCGGCAUUAUCAUAGCAACUAUAUCGAUCAUGUGUAUAUUAUAUUAUGUACAGGUUAAGUUAGGAACGGGAAAACAAUCGUGUUAAAAUAAAUGUCGGGCUAUUAGCAUCCGGUAAUGACGGACGACCGGUACGCGUCGGGUCUGCGAGUACCAUUUGUCAAACAACUUGUUAGAUCGGGACCAGUUGUUAUAUUAGGUAGUACGAAGUGUGUGUGCGCGUGCGUGCGCGGCGCACACAGUGGUCACCGCACAUAACCUCUUUCUCUCUCUCACUCGCUCCCUCUGCAAACGCAUUCCAUUCAUAAAUAUAUUAUAUACGUAUAUUUUUAAUAUUUUAUUACAGCAUUUUUUUUUUUUUUUUAUGUAUAUAUAUAUAAUAUAUACGUAUUCGUAAGACUUGAAUAUUUUAUAAACGGACAUUCCUACCUGAUUAGUGCGCGCGCUGUGGCCACGGUCUUCUAUAAUAUUAUGCCGCGUUUACUGCACGCGUGUGCGCGCCGCGUGUCAGCUACAAAGCACACAUAAAUUCCCUUUAUAAACGGAUGGUCACGUUGAAUGGAUAAUAUUUUAUGGGUAGGUUAAUAUAAUAUUAUAUUAAAAUUUCGGAUUGCGUGCAUUAUCGGGGCCAUUGUUACAUUGUAUCAGUUGUACAGAUAUCGUAUGGUUAUGUUGAAUAAUGGUCUCCGACAAUAUCUUGUCUAGCACCUUGUUAGCUAGUUAAAUUAUAGUUUAUGAAGUGGGUCCGCAAUCGAAUCACAAGGCCGGUCACGUACAAGUUUGAAAGUUAAUUUUAACUUAACUAAAAAGCUAAGUUAAUUUUAACUUAGUUUUUAACCAUUUAAUUUUGUGAUUUUUUUUUUUCUGCGUAAUUAGAACCGAACCCGCCCAAAUGAAGCCCAUGUGCAACAUGCAUGUAGCAUUUAUUUUGUUUUAUUAAAAAUGUUGAUAUCAACAACACAGUUGGAUAGUAUUUUGUAUGUAAUAUUCUUAGUACAGUAUUUAUGGAAUUUAUGGAAC